rnacentral:rRNA from 1 species
GACGAACGCUGGCGGCGUGCUUAACACAUGCAAGUCGAGCGGUAAGGCCUUUCGGGGUACACGAGCGGCGAACGGGUGAGUAACACGUGGGUGAUCUGCCCUGCACUUCGGGAUAAGCCUGGGAAACUGGGUCUAAUACCGGAUAUGACCUCCUAUCGCAUGGUGGGUGGUGGAAAGAUUUAUCGGUGCAGGAUGGGCCCGCGGCCUAUCAGCUUGUUGGUGGGGUAAUGGCCUACCAAGGCGACGACGGGUAGCCGACCUGAGAGGGUGACCGGCCACACUGGGACUGAGACACGGCCCAGGCUCCUACGGGAGGCAGCAGUGGGGAAUAUUGCACAAUGGGCGAAAGCCUGAUGCAGCGACGCCGCGUGAGGGAUGACGGCCUUCGGGUUGUAAACCUCUUUCAGCAGGGACGAAGCGCAAGUGACGGUACCUGCAGAAGAAGCACCGGCUAACUACGUG